UACGGAGGGUGCAAGCGUUAUCCGGAUUUAUUGGGUUUAAAGGGUCCGCAGGCGGGAGAAUAAGUCAGUGGUGAAAUCCUAUCGCUUAACGAUAGAACUGCCAUUGAUACUGUUUUUCUUGAGUGUAGUUGAAGUUGGCGGAAUGUGUCAUGUAGCGGUGAAAUGCAUAGAUAUGACACAGAACACCGAUUGCGAAGGCAGCUAACUAAACUAUAACUGACGCUCAUGGACGAAAGCGUGGGGAGCGAACAGG
rnacentral:rRNA from 1 species